GAUGAACGCUGGCGGCGUGCCUAAUACAUGCAAGUCGAGCGAACAGAUGAGGAGCUUGCUCCUCUGACGUUAGCGGCGGACGGGUGAGUAACACGUGGAUAACCUACCUAUAAGACUGGGAUAACUUCGGGAAACCGGAGCUAAUACCGGAUAAUAUAUUGAACCGCAUGGUUCAAUAGUGAAAGACGGUUUUGCUGUCACUUAUAGAUGGAUCCGCGCCGCAUUAGCUAGUUGGUAAGGUAACGGCUUACCAAGGCAACGAUGCGUAGCCGACCUGAGAGGGUGAUCGGCCACACUGGAACUGAGACACGGUCCAGACUCCUACGGGAGGCAGCAGUAGGGAAUCUUCCGCAAUGGGCGAAAGCCUGACGGAGCAACGCCGCGUGAGUGAUGAAGGUCUUCGGAUCGUAAAACUCUGUUAUAGGGGAAGAACAAAUGUGUAAGUAACUAUGCACGUCUUGACGGUACCUAAUCAGAAAGCCACGGCUAACUACGUG
rnacentral:rRNA from 1 species